rnacentral:rRNA from 1 species
GACGAACGCUGGCGGCGUGCUUAACACAUGCAAGUCGAACGGUGAAGCGCCUUCCUUUUUGGUGGGUGUGGAUGAGUGGCGAACGGGUGAGUAACACAUGAGUAACCUGCCCCCUUCUUCUGGAUAACCGCAUGAAAGUGUGGCUAAUACGGGAUAUUCUGGGUCUGUCGCAUGAUGGGUCUGGGAAAGAUAUUGUUUCGGUGGGGGAUGGGCUCGCGGCCUAUCAGCUUGUUGGUGGGGUGAUGGCCUACCAAGGCGGUGACGGGUAGCCGGCCUGAGAGGGUGGACGGCCACACUGGGACUGAGACACGGCCCAGACUCCUACGGGAGGCAGCAGUGGGGAAUAGUGCACAAUGGGCGCAAGCCUGAUGCAGCGACGCCGCGUGAGGGAUGGAGGCCUUCGGGUUGUGAACCUCUUUCGCCAGUGAAGCAGGCCUGCCUCGUUUGUGGGUGGGUUGACGGUAGCUGGAUAAGAAGCGCCGGCUAACUACGUG